rnacentral:lncRNA from 1 species
CAAAAUCCUGGAGUGUUCCAAAUGUCCUGGGGGGGGUCCCAAAAUCCCGAUUUGGGGUCCCCAAAUUUUGGGAAUGUCCCCAAAUCCCAUUUUGGGCUCCCCAAAUUCUGGGGGUGUCCCCAAAUCCCAUUUUGGGGUCCCCAAAAUCAUGGAGUGUUCCAAAUGUCCUGGGGGGGGUCCCCAAAUUCCGGGAGUGUUCCAAAUCCCAUUUUGGGGUCCCCAAAUUCCGGGGGUGUCCCCAAAUUCCAAUUUGGGCUCCCCAAAUUCCGGGGGUGUCUCCAAAUCCCAAUUUGGGGUCCCCAAAUUUUGGGAGUGUCCCCAAAUCCCAUUUUGGGGUCCCCAAAUUCCAUUUUGGGGUCCCUCCUGUCGAUGUUUUGGGGUUCCCAAAUUUCGGGAGUCUCCCCAAAUCCCAUUUUGGGGUCCCCAAAAUCCCAUUUUGGGGUCCCCCCCCCCCCCCAUUCUGGGGACACUCGGGGUCCCCCAGCAGGGCCAGGCCGAGGUGGGGACGGCUCCCGAUGUCCCCAAAAUGUCCCAAAAUGUCCCCAAAAGUCCCCGAAAUGUUCCCAAAAUGUCCCCAAAAUGUCCCCAAAUGUCCCCAAAAUGUCCCCAAAUCCCCCAAAUGUCCCCAAAUGUCCCAAAUUUUCCCCAGUUUGGGGACACGGAUGGGUCCUCGGUGUCCCCAAAUGUCCCCAAAAUGUCCCCAAAUGUCCCCAAAAUGUCCCCAAAUGCCCCCAAAUGUCCCCAAAUGUCCCCAAAUGUCCCCAAAUAUCCCAAAAUCCCCCAAAAUGUCCCCAAAUCCUCCAAAUGUCCCCAAAUCCCCAAAACCCCCCAAAUGUCCCCAAAAUGUCCCAAAAUGUCCCCAUUCGGGCUCCAUCAGCAGGGCCAGGCCAUGGCGGGGGUCGGUCUCCGAUGUCCCCAAAUGUCCCCAGUUUGUCCCAGUCCAUCCCAGUCUGUCCCAGUGUCCCCANNNNNNNNNNCAGUUUGUGUCCCCAGUUUGUCCCAGUCCAUCCCAGUCUGUCCCAGUAUUCCCAGUUUGUGUCCCCAGUCCAUCCCAGUCCGUCCCAGUAUUCCCAGUUUGUGUCCCCAGUUUGUGUCCCCAGUCCGUCCCAGUCCAUCCCAGUUUGUCCCAGUCCCCUCCCAGUCCCCCGCAGUCCAUCCCAGUCCAUCCCAGUCCCCCCCAGUCCCCCCCAGUUCCCUCCCAGUUCCCUC